rnacentral:pre_miRNA from 1 species
AAUAAAAUCAUUUUUCAGUUUUUUCAUACAAUGUUUUGACUCUUCAUCUUAUUUGAAUUUUUUUUGCGAUUAAUAUUUUUAUUCUUACUAGAUGAUAAAACAUAAAUGAUACUUUAUAAGUGACUAAUUUUUUUUAAGUUUUUUACAAAUUUUUCAAAUAAGACUAAUGGACAAACGUUGGACAGAAAAAAACGAAAAACGAUCUUAUU